AACGCAUCUUGCGCUCCUUGGCAUUCCGAGGAGCACGCCUGUUUGAGUGUCAUUAAAUUCCUCAAACCCCCUCCAAUCUUGCCCCAUGGCCUGGAGUGGUUGGUUUGGAUCGUUGGAGGCUGCAGGCUCAUUUUGAAGGGCCUGCUCCUCUGAAAUGCAUUAGCAAUGGCCGCGGUGUUGUGCACCAGUCGUUGGCAUGGUAGAUUCUCUUAUUUUGUGCCAUUGGACAUGACAACCCCCUCCCGUGCUUUGAAUCUGAACGUCCAUUUUCUGGGCGUCCCUUGACCAUUUUGACCUCAAAUCAGGUGGGACUACCCGCUGAACUUAA
rnacentral:misc_RNA from 1 species